rnacentral:misc_RNA from 1 species
AAUUUGUGCUUCUCCUCAAGAGACAUCUCCCUCUUGUUAGGAUCUUUGGCCUUGGGUUUUGGUAGCUUAACAGGCUUAACUGGAGGAGCUCGCAUUGGGGAAGGAGUCCGCACAGGCAACUGUGAUGUAGAUUGAGGAUUAGACCCACUUGGUUGCAAUGAUUUCCCAAUUGGGUCAGAUUUAGGCAUAAUUUGCAUUAUAUUUUCCUGAUCUUUCUUUACCCUAUCAAUGUCACCUCGAUUAGGUACGUGAUCCCAAGAACUAGCUUGCACUUCUUGAACCUGAUCAUGCUCAUGCUCAUGCUCAUGCUCAUGCACCUGAUCCUGAUCAUCCUCAACAACUUUAUCUCUAAUGGGUCGGUACCAUUC